UUCAAUCAGAUCAUCAGUGGUUUAAAUCCUAAAACUAUCUGUGUUGAUGUUGUGUCUCUGCUUGUCUUCAGCGUGCUGAGAGCAGAUAAAUCAUUUCCAUAGAGACGAGGCUUUGCAUGGUCAGCUGAUCCUCCAGGGAACUGAGAAGGUUUAUAGUCCUGUGAGUUCAACACUGCAGGACUCAGAUCUGUCAGUCAACCCAGCAGAACCAACAAGCACCAUGACUCUCAUCACCAUCCUGAUCUGGACGCUGCUGACCUGCUGCUGUUUUACAGGAUGCAGCGCUCAGGUGACUGUGACUCAGCCUCCACUGGUGACAUUUACACCAGGAUCCACGGCCACUAUAAAGUGUACAACAAGUCCUGCUGUUUAUAGAUGGGAUGAUGGUGAUGAGGCUAUGUUCUGGUAUCAGCAGAAACCAGGACAGCCUCCAAAGCUCUUGAUUAAAUAUGUGAAAAAACUUCAGUCAGGAACACCAGAUCGGUUUAGUGGCAGUGGAAGCAGCUCUGUCUUCACUUUGACCAUCACUGGAGUUCAGGCUGAAGAUGCAGCAGUUUAUUACUGUCAGAGUGUCCACAGUGGCCCAGUGUUCACACAGUUAUUUGUAGCUGUACAGAAACCUCCUUCAGUCAGACUGCAAACACACUGA